rnacentral:lncRNA from 1 species
UUGUUUCUCUGAAGCAGAACAGCAUUUUCUGACAGAGUUUUUUUAUCUGCCUAAGAUGGCACUAGACCUAUUACCUCAACAUUACGAGAAUUAAUUACUACCUUCAGACUUCUUAUAUUUGCAUUUAAGGAAGCCAUGCAUCUUGAAGUGGAGGGAGAACUAUAAUACUCGUGCUUAAGUUUAGCUUCUGUGGCUGGUAGGUGCAGGAACUCAUGGGUCGGGAGCUCAGGAGCCUUAAAGCGAAGAGAUGGAACGAAUUUCCCAGGAAGAUUGCAACACAGGACUAGGAGCGAAAAGAGACGAGAUCAUGAGGUACAUCUGAGAUAUAUUUGAGAUAAUAAAUCAAGUAUCAAAGCCACAAAUCAACUAACUUUAGCUGCAGAAAGAAUUCACUAGCAUCUUGGCCUCUCGAACCGAAAUGCUAAACGGCUUAAGAAAGAAUUCAACAACAGAUUGUUAAU